CUGGCUGGAUGAUACCAUGAAAGAUUUCCUGUGACGUGGAUAUUCCCAGUGUGCUGGAGCCAUAGAUAGGAUCCACAUACCAAUUAUUGCCCCCAGAGACAACCCAGUGUAUUACUAUAACGGAAAAGGCUGGCACUCCUUCAUCCUGCAGGCUGUAGUGGACCAUAAAUAUUGUUUCACAGAUGUCUGGCCGGGUCGUGCUCUCAACUCCCGGGUACUUGGCAACUAGGAUUUGUUCCAAAUUACGGAGGAGAAGCAACAUGGCUGGUUGUUCCCUAGAGAGAAAUCAAAGUUUGUUGAUGGGGUGGAGACCCUGGUUUACCUUAUUGGAGAUGCGGCAUACCCUUUGAGGCGAUGGCUCACCAAGGGCUUCACACAGCAUCUCCCACUCUCUCCGGACCAAGUUCAGUUCACCCACACUCUCAGCUCGGCCAGGAUGGUGGUGGAGAACGCCUUUGGUGGACUGAAGGGGUGCUGGCGGUGUCUACUAAAGUGUAACGACAUUGCCAUCACCCUGGUGCCAUAUGUGGUUGCUGCUUGCUGUAUCCACCACAAAUUUUGUGAGAUGUUGUGGACUCUGGACUGAAGAAUCAGCAGCCUACGAGGGUGAGACAAGUAGUGGCAGUGCUGAUGAAAUUCGCAACACCCUCACUGAUAAUUUAAGUAUUAUGACACAGUAGAGGA